GACAUAGGUUGCGAACGUUAUCCGGAAUUAUUGGGCGUAAAGAGCUUGUAGGCGGUUUGUCGCGUCUGCUGUGAAAAUCCGGGACUCAACCCCGGACUUGCAGUGGGUACGGGCAGACUGGAGUGUGGUAGGGGAGACUGGAAUUCCUGGUGUAGCGGUGGAAUGCGCAGAUAUCAGGAGGAACACCGAUGGCGAAGGCAGGUCUCUGGGCCACUACUGACGCUGAGAAGCGAAAGCAUGGGGAGCGAACAGG
rnacentral:rRNA from 1 species